UACGGGGGGAGCAAGCGUUGUUCGGAUUUACUGGGCGUAAAGGGCGCGUAGGCGGCCACCGCAAGUCAGUUGUGAAAUCCCCGAGCUUAACUUGGGAAUGGCGCUUGAAACUACGGUGCUGGAGUGUGGCAGAGGGAGGUGGAAUUCCACGUGUAGCGGUGAAAUGCGUAGAGAUGUGGAGGAACACCGAUGGCGAAGGCAGCCUCCUGGGCCAACACUGACGCUCAUGCACGAAAGCGUGGGGAGCAAACAGG
rnacentral:rRNA from 1 species